GCAGUCGAGCGAUCGAUGGGAGCUUGCUCCCUGAGAUUAGCGGCGGACGGGUGAGUAACACGUGGGCAACCUGCCUAUAAGACUGGGAUAACUUCGGGAAACCGGAGCUAAUACCGGAUACGUUCUUCUCUCGCAUGAGAGAAGAUGGAAAGACGGUUUACGCUGUCACUUAUAGAUGGGCCCGCGGCGCAUUAGCUAGUUGGUGAGGUAAUGGCUCGCCAAGGCGACGAUGCGUAGCCGACCUGAGAGGGUGAUCGGCCACACUGGGACUGAGACACGGCCCAGACUCCUACGGGAGGCAGCAGUAGGGAAUCUUCCGCAAUGGACGAAAGUCUGACGGAGCAACGCCGCGUGAACGAAGAAGGCCUUCGGGUCGUAAAGUUCUGUUGUUAGGGAAGAACAAGUACCAGAGUAACUGCUGGUACCUUGACGGUACCUAACCAGAAAGCCACGGCUAACUACGUGCCAGCAGCCGCGGUAAUACGUAGGUGGCAAGCGUUGUCCGGAAUUAUUGGGCGUAAAGCGCGCGCAGGUGGUUCCUUAAGUCUGAUGUGAAAGCCCACGGCUCAACCGUGGAGGGUCAUUGGAAACUGGGGGACUUGAGU
rnacentral:rRNA from 1 species